CCUACGGGGGGCUGCAGUGGGGAAUAUUGGACAAUGGGGGCAACCCUGAUCCAGCCAUGCCGCGUGUGUGAAGAAGGCCCUCGGGUUGUAAAGCACUUUCAGUGAGGAAGAACGCCUGGUGGUUAAUACCCAUCAGGAAAGACAUCACUCACAGAAGAAGCACCGGCUAACUCCGUGCCAGCAGCCGCGGUAAUACGGAGGGUGCGAGCGUUAAUCGGAAUUACUGGGCGUAAAGCGCGCGUAGGUGGCUUGAUAAGCCGGUUGUGAAAGCCCCGGGCUCAACCUGGGAACGGCAUCCGGAACUGUCAAGCUAGAGUGCAGGAGAGGAAGGUAGAAUUCCCGGUGUAGCGGUGAAAUGCGUAGAGAUCGGGAGGAAUACCAGUGGCGAAGGCGGCCUUCUGGACUGACACUGACGCUGAGGUGCGAAAGCGUGGGUAGCAAACAGGAUUAGAUACCCGAGUAGUC
rnacentral:rRNA from 1 species